rnacentral:hammerhead_ribozyme from 1 species
AUCCAGUUGACGAGUCCCAAAUAAGACGAAAAUCGCGCCCUGGAU